rnacentral:rRNA from 1 species
UGGGUAACCUGCCUCAAAGAGGGGAAUAGCCUCCCGAAAGGGAGAUUAAUACCGCAUAAUAUGUUUAGGUCGCAUGACUUUAACAUCAAAGGAUUUUCUUUUAGAAAUUCCACUUUGAGAUGGACCCGCGGCGCAUUAGCUAGUUGGUGAGGUAACGGCUCACCAAGGCAACGAUGCGUAGCCGACCUGAGAGGGUGAUCGGCCACAUUGGAACUGAGACACGGUCCAGCUCCUAGGAG